AGUUUGCUAAGAUAGGGAAAAAAGUCUACUGGUCUUCAAUACUAGAAGGAGCGAGAGCUGCAAGCUG
rnacentral:tRNA from 1 species